CCCUGCAGAAGCCAUGUUAAAAUGUAAAUGGAACACAGACCAGAAUUGAAAGGACUUUUAUAAGGAAAUUCUGCAAAAUAAUGAGUAAGUAUUAAGAAGAAACAAAUCACCAAGGACAUUUAAUGAAAGAGAGAGAAAUUCUGAAAUACUCAAGUGCUGGAAGCAACCUGAACAUCCAUCUACAGGUGAAAGGAUGAACAUGAUAGGAAGAGGUAAAACUAUAGUGAUGAU
rnacentral:lncRNA from 1 species